UACGUAGGUGACAAGCGUUGUCCGGAUUUACUGGGCGUAAAGAGCGCGCAGGCGGUCGAUCAAGUCGAGUGUGAAAGCCCCCGGCUCAACUGGGGAGGGUCAUUCGAUACUGAUCGACUCGAAGGCAGGAGAAGGGUAGUGGAAUUCCCGGUGUAGUGGUGAAAUCGUAGAUAUUAGGAAGAACACCAGUGGCGAAGGCGGCUCACUGGCUCGGUACUGACGCUGAGGCGCGAAAGCGUGGGGAGCAAACAGGG
rnacentral:rRNA from 1 species